GGACCCGCGGUCCGCGGUCCGCGGUCUGGAGGGAGGGCGGGCAUGGGAGUGCUGGUCUGCGCAAGAAGUGACUUCUCCGUUAGCUUCCGCCUUCGUCACCACAUCACAAUGAGCAUCCCCACCUCCAUCACCGCGACUGUGGCUCGGCCGCGGCGGCACUUCCGGGAGCCCUCGGGCGUCCGUUGGGUCUGUUAGAGCGCACUCGACCCGCAGCGCCUGUGGGCUGGGAGCGCGGCCCGCGUCCUUCCCGGCAGUAGCUUGUGCGACAGGCAGUGCAGAGGCCACACCUAAGCACAGAAUGAAGAGCACAUUUCAAACCUUUGGGAAAGAAGUGUGCCUCACAGAUCUUUUGAUGUGUCCCGUCUCCAGUGCUGUUCACCGAGAGCCCAUCUGCUGUGAGUACCAGUCCAGAUUUGGGGGCCGCCUACCAGUGCCCAGGGCUGAGGCAGCGCUACCUUACUGGGUCCCUCAGUCCCUGAGACCCCGAAAGCAGAUCCAAGAGAUGGUCCAGGUUAAUGUCUCCAAAGCCACCAAGGCGUGUUCCUGCCCAGGGCACGGCUUUGGGGGCCGCCUCCCAGUGCCUAGGGAUCAGGCUGUGAUGCCCUACUGGGUGCCCCGGGUGCUGAGGUCUUACACGAAGAUCCAAAAGAAGGUCCAGGUUGAUAUCCCCAAAGCCACCAAGGCAUGCCCCUGCCCAGGUCACUGCUUUGGGGGCCGCCUCCCAGUGCCUAGGGAUCAGGCUGUGAUGCCCUACUGGGUGCCCCGGGUCCUGAGGUCUUACAAGAAGGUGGUGAAAAGGCAGCCGAGUUGUAAAGGCAUUACAGAAACCCCCCUGGAUUCACACUCUUGGCACAACCGCUGGCGGAUCUGUGGCAGCAGACGCCUCCUCCUCAAGUGGCUGCAGCUCCAGGCCCUGCACCAGGACGGGCCGCUGGCCCCGGGGAGGAGGGCAAGCCUCCAGACCCCCUUCCUGCCUCUCUGCCUCAGCCUCCUGACCUUCCUCCAGACUGUCUUGAGGGCCAUUGAGAUCAUUCGCCGGGUUAACGGAAGAGCAGUGCGGAUAAGAGAGAGCUGAUGCCAGCCUUCUGGGGUUUGGCCACACCUUUAGGGUGAUGCCUUGCUGCCUGUCGGCCAGCCCUGCCCCAGCCGUCACGGCUCUACCUUGGGAAGUCCCCAGUCUGGAUGCCACCAGCCUGGAACAGGCCCCUGUUUCUUACCUGGAACCCUGCUGAGUUUCUCCUCCAGGAAGCUUCCAGGGUGACUCGGGGGCUCAAGUUCUGCAAAGCUGGGACUCUCUUCCUUGUUCUAGAAGGAGAGAGCGGGCUCUGAGGGGUUGAGUGACUCGCCUGAGGUCCCAUGGCUAAAAGUGAGCCAGCUGAGGCUGCACCCCGGCGUCACCUCACAGCACCCCUCUCCUGCCUGGGCUCCUCAGGACUAAGCGCACGGGGGACCUGGAUGACAUCCCUCUCCACUCUCCUCCCCAUGAAGGCUUCUGGACAGGCCCCGCAAGGGCAGUGUGGGCUCAGCUGGAGGACAGUUCCUAGUAACUGCCUUUCUCUUUGCUUUCCAGCCAUUUUUUGGGGGUUUGAAGUUGGAAUCUUCAGCUAGUACCAAGAACAUCAGCAAAAAUGUCAAUCAUAAUCAAGGUCUCUUAAUGAAAGUUGUUAAAUCAGAGGAGUCUGUGAUAGUCUCUGUUUUCUCAGCCCACAUAAUUCACACCCAAGAUUCAGUCCAAGUUGUUUAUCAUGAGAGGUGCUUGGUCGCACAGAGCUGCUGUGAAUGCGGGUGAGAUUCUGUUAUAAAUGUAGUCAAUAAAUGUUAUUUGUG